CGAGCCGAACCGAGCUGAGCCGAGCCGAGCCCAGCUGAGCUGAGCCAAGCCAAGCCAAGGCAAGCUGAGCUGAACUGCACCAUGCUGAUCUGAACUGAGUUGAGCCAAGCCAAGCCUAGCCAAGCUGAGUGGAGCCAAGCUGAGCCAUCGGGGAGCGUGCCGUGGGAAUCACCAUGGCUCCAGCGACACAGGCGCUGCCUCUCGCCUGCCUGAUGCUGCUCCUGCUCUGGAGAGCCCCGGGUGCGGGUGCCCAGGCGCACACUG